CUGAGCCAUCUCCCCGGCCCCACAUAUACUAAAAUUGGAAUGAUACAGAGAAGAUUAGCAUGGCCUCUGCUCAAGGAUGACACGCAAAUUCGUGAAGCAUUCCAUAUUUUU
rnacentral:snRNA from 1 species